CCCGCUAUUCAGCCUUUGCCAUUUUUGUCUACAUCUACUGCGCACCGUUUCUUUCUCCGCCCGAAAACAUCCCUUGCUAGGCGCGUGCCACCACGCUCUUCAACUGUCGGUCUUCCUCCGUACUUUAUGCCAUUUCUUCUUCUCCAAUUCUCCGCUUCUGUCCAUCCCUCUUACUCUCUUAGUUUUUAUUCUCUCUCCUUCUCUAUGUAAAACUCUUGCUAGGGUUUUGGCUCAUUGGGGUCUAACGAGUGGUUCUUGCUUUAGUGUUCUGUUUAUUCUCAGUAUAAUAUGCCAUUCUACUAUAAGCACACACAAUGAUUGAGAAAUCCAAGAAACAAAAGAAGGGAAUAAUUAGUGAAGAAGACAUCUCGACUCUCCUGCAAAGGUACACAGCGAAUACGGUGCUGGCAUUGCUUCAAGAAGUGGCUCAAUUCCAAAGUGCGAAGAUUGAUUGGAAUGCACUCGUGAAGACAACGACUACAGGGAUUUCUAAUGCCAGGGAGUACCAGUUACUAUGGAGGCAUUUGGCCUAUAGACACGCCUUGUUUGAAAAAUUGGAAGAUGGAGCUCAGCCUUUGGAUGAUGACAGUGAUUUAGAGUAUGAAUUACAAGCAUUUCCGGAUGUUAGUACUGAAGCUUCAACAGAGGCUGCGGCUUGUGUCAAGGUCCUGAUUGCUUCUGGCUUACCAAGUGAUUCCAUCCAUCCAAAUAGCACAACAGUUGAGGCUCCCUUAACUAUAAAUAUACCUAAUGGGCAAGCAGUUAGAUCUACAUCAGAAAAUUUGCAACCUGCUACAAUGCGAGGGAUGAAUAUUACAGUUCCAGUUUCUGUUCAGAAACAGCCGUUGCCUGCAGUAACAUCCACUGAUCGACUGGAUGCAAAUGGAUCUGCAAGUGGCACUAUUCCUGCACGAAGGAAAAGAAAACCAUGGUUAGAGUCUGAGGAUAUGAAACUGAUUGCUGCUGUGCAGAAAUAUGGUGAAGGGAAUUGGGCAAAUAUCUUACGAAGCGAAUUCAAGUGGGAUAGAACAGCUUCACAGCUAUCUCAGGUUGUUUUCCUAUCAAUGGUCCCAUUCACUUAUGUUGUUUUCAUCUCCCACCUUUUCGACCCCAUUCUUCAUGUUCUUACCAUGCAUUAGAUGUGAGACUUUUUUUACUUGAUUUAGUCUCAUAGGUUGGAGUCAAACAUGUUGGAUUAAAUGAAUCAUUUGCUGUUUACUUAAGAACUCCUUCUGCUUUCUACAAUUAACUCUACACCUUUGAUAUUGUGAUAACAAUUUCUGUAUGAAUUGGGGAUUCAUAUAAUAUCAUAGCUGGGUUACUUUGCCCUGGACAUGUCUUGAAAGUUCUUGGAAAUCAUUGAGAUAUAUGGUUUGCAUGGUUAGUAAGGACUUCAGCUCUUAAAGGAAUACAUGGAAUGUUGCAUAUGGGACUAUAUAGAAUUGGCUCUCUUCUGGGGCACUGCCUGGUUUUUGAUGGAGAAGUUUUCUAAGUAGAUUUAAAGUGAGGUGUUCAGAAUUAAGGAAGCUAUUUAAAAAAAAAUUGUUGGGUGACUAAUUCCAGGAAAUGUAGGGUAAGGAUUAUAGAGUAAGGAUUUGAUCAUAUGUGAUGAACUAGAUGUAACCUCAAUGGGGAACUAGGAGACUCAUUUAAGGCGUGGUAACUCAAAUUUAUUAGUGUAAUAAAAGGGAUCAAAAAAAGGCACUGGAUGGAAUAUCCAAAAUGUGGUGAGAAAAAACAUUGCUGAGGAAUGGCAGGGAGUUUUACAAUAGCUAGAGUGGAUAGCACAGAAGUGUUCAUACACCACAUAGUUGCUCAUUCAUUUUUAAAAAUGUGGAAUCAUAUAGAAUAUAUUUCAUUUUAAAAUUUGCUAAUGGUUUAUGAUAAUUCUUCCUUAAUCUGUUGCCCUCUCUCAGAGGGUUUAUAUAUACAAAUUGCAAUGUGCAAGUGGAUGCUUAAUUGUAUAUUGCACAUUUUCCAACUCUCGUUUUUCUCUUCUGAAAAGGAAGGUAUGAAAAGACUAUUUGAGUUGAUCGUCAGUUUGGUGCAAUAGUUCGUUUAUUUGGUGCAAACAUGGAACCAUGUUGAUGUGCUUUUGUUUAUAUGUUUACUUAUUUUGUUCUGUAAGAUUUCUUCCUGAGGUCUAUGCAAAUCGCCACCAUGUACCUUUACCACCUUAUCCAAGGCCCAGGAAAGUACUUUAAAUUUGAUAAGGUAUAUAUGCAUUUGCUGGUAGAAGAUUUGAAGGUGCUGAAUAAAGCUUAAAUAAAAAGGCUAGCUGAAAAGAGUAAAGUUAUUUAAUAAUUGUUAUUUCAUAAUCAAUGAUGCGAUAAGUGUUAAACAUUGCAUUUGAUAGGAGGCUGAAGAGCGUAACAUUUGUUACAUUGUCUGAGAGAGAGAGGGAGUGAGAGAAUAUAGAAGAGGUCAAUGAUAUUUAUAAAACAUUUGAGAAACAACACAAUUAAUUGCCAAUACUGUGUUGGAGCUAUAUAUGCAUUUUGAGUUACAUCAGGAUUGGUUUAUUAUUGUUAAGAUCUCAAGAGUAGAACCAGUUCUUGGCAUCAUCUAUGCAAGUCAAUUAUAUGUGUCUGCAUCAGUGUUAAAGUUGAAAUUCUAUCAAUAGCUACUAUUUUUUUUUAACCAUUAUAUGUAAUUGAUCGAAAUGCUUUUGUUAAUUGACUUUUUUGAGAGUGAAUAAUCUGUAUAUAAGCUGAGGCAUCAUUGGAGAAUCACACUUUACCAACCUUCUGUGCCAUAAUGUUAGUUCUGGCAACAUGAAAUAAUUAUUUAAAUUAAAUGGUUAAUUGCUUAUAUUAUUGAAUAAAUAUUACUUAUCCUUAAACUGAAUUUAUAUUUAUAAGUUGCCUUGGCGGAUUUAUCUGUUUGGGUUUAUUACAUCGGAAAAUAAAUAAUGCCAUGUAAACCAAUCCGUUGUCAUCUAGUCCGGUUAGGAUGUCUGGGUUUACCCAGUAUUCCCGGGUUCAAAUCCCGGCAACGGAAUUUUUCUGAUUUUUUACAUGUCAUUUUUGCCUGUUAUGGUAAAUUCUUUGACAAUAUAUUAAGGUUGAUCAUGUCAAUUAAAUUUGAAUCUGGGUUCAUCUUCACUGUUAUUCUUUCCUCUCUAUUCUUCUACUAAAUUUCAGGGCAAAUUGGGCAAAUUCUAUGUUAUUUUUGGAGCUGGCAUUUUUUACUGUUAUGCAGUUCUGCUCCUUUUAGCUAGGUUUUUCUUUGUUUUCGUUCUCCUAAUAGUCAUAGUUUGUCCAAGCAGAGGUGGGCCAUCAUCCGUAAAAGGCGACUUGGCAACUGGAAUCUGGGAGGUAACACAAGUGGUGUGCAAAUAACUGAGGCACAGCGCGCAGCACUUCAUGCAAUGAAUUUAGCCCUUGAUCUGCCAGUUAAGAAUACAUUUACAAAUAACUCUGGUAAUUAUCUUGUGUCUCAAUCGAGUGCAAUCUGUCCUGCAAUCUAAAAAGCAAGUUAAACUUUUGAAUUGGCAUAACUGUUAUGAAAUUUCUAUUGGCUCUUGCUUUAUUGAGUCCUGAUAAUUACUCUAUGAUUGUUGGUAUAGGUGAAACUUCAUCUUCCCAACUCCAGUCUCAACGCCCCUUUGCAACGAAAUCAUCUUCUGUGGGACCACUGGGUUCUGCUGCUAAUUCUCAAGUCGCUGUGAACAAAACAGUGAAGCCUGAUUUUAGUUCAAAUACAGUAAGAGCUGCUGCAGUUGCUGCUGGGGCCCGUAUUACUACUCAAUCAGAUGCUGCUUCAUUGCACAAGGCUACUCAGGCAAAGAGUGCUGUUCAUAUUAUGCCAGCAGCUGGUUCUUCAAUAUCAUCCAUGGCUGGUGGUGCAUCCAGCCACUUUGAGGCUCACCCUAAUGUUCAUUUUGAUGACCUGGCAGCUGUAUCAUUUCCCACCCAUCCAGCUGUCUCAUCCAAUGGCCAACACCUUGCUUUGGAGGCAGCUUCCUCACCAACCACUCAGCCUACUCCAAUUUCUAGUACGGCCAUGAACAUGUCAUCUGAACAGGCUCAUGCUGAACUUCAGUCAAAGCAAGAUGUGACAAAAGAGCAAGUCAAAGAACAUGGAGGCCUUGUCUGUGGAAAUGCUCCACGUGAGCAAGUUCAAGAAAGAAAAGCAGCCUUGCCAAACCAAGAAGCAGAAUUUAAAACUCAAGUAGCUGUAGCCCAGAGUUCUAAUGCUUCACGGAAAGUGGAAAUGGGUGAAAGUGACAUGGUGGAUGUCCCUGGCAACCAGGCUGAAGGGAGUCAAAAUUCAAAUGGUGAUAAGAGCACGUAUCUAGCGGUUGGAAAGGAUGAAUAUCAAUCUGCAGUUCAGGAGAAUUGUGGCAAUCAAAGCACGAGUGGCAAACAAGCUGAUCUGCGAAGCAUGGCAACUGAUGAAUGCAGCAAAAAAGUUGAAGCUGUAAGCAAAGCAGAACCUUGCAAUGUGAUUACAGAGGGAGGUCUUGUAUAAAGCAGCCGGGAAUUUCUUUCUUUUUUCCUUUUCAGGGCAAUCUUCCAUUUGCAUUUUAAUUGACUUCAGAAAUUAGUUAGGGCAAGUUAUAGAAUUUUGUGGUAAGUAAAUGAUUGAAUGCAUAUCUUUGUUAUGGUGCAAAUACAUUUCCUAUUUGCUUGGAGUGAUGAGAUUACUGGGAAUGCAUAUGAACGUGUAAGAAUUACGGCUUUCUGUUGGGUGCUAAAAUGCCCUAAUUAUUUAUGUAAACAUUAACUUUUGUAAAGAUGGCAAUGGCACUUGCAUAUAUAAUGGAGCUGAG
rnacentral:misc_RNA from 1 species